GCCAGGGAAGUUGAUUGUGUGAAGGGAGCAGGACUCCUGACACAGCCAUUCUCUGAGCAG
ensembl:miRNA Mir7226 microRNA 7226